UACGUAGGAGGCAAGCGUUAUCCGGAAUGACUGGGCGUAAAGGGUGCGUAGGUGGUUUGACAAGUUGGUAGCGCAACUCCGGGGCUCAACCUCGGCACUACUACCAAAACUGUUGAACUUGAGUGCAGGAGGGGCAAAUGGAAUUCCUAGUGUAGCGGUGGAAUGCGUAGAUAUUAGGAGGAACACCAGUGGCGAAGGCGAUUUGCUGGACUGUAACUGACACUGAGGCACGAAAGCGUGGGGAGCAAACA
rnacentral:rRNA from 1 species